CUAGGAAAUUUCCAAAGAUACAAAAUCAUUCCCUCUUGUAUCUCCCUCGCCAUUAGACGCACCUAAACAAAACGGUUACUUACUUCACAAAUCGUUGUACUCUCUGCAGAUUUUCUCCUCAGAGCCACCACGAUUUUUCCCUCAAUUUACUUCUAAUCCAAGCCAUGGAUUCAGCUACUCCAAAGAAGAGGAGGUGUUUGCUGUUUGAUCUAAAUCAGCCUGCAGAACCAUUAGCAGCUGCUGAAGCAAUACAAGAUCCACCACAAGCUGUGGAACCUCAACCACAAGAGACCAUCAACGGGCAAUACACAUGUCCUAGUAACUUCAGAGACAGGUGUGCCCUGUUUGGUUGUGAAGUAGCUCUUCAGUCUCCUCAAGAAGAGGUCUAUUACUGCUGUAGCAACCUUUUCCAGUUCUCUGAACUAUGGUCCUCCUCUGAAACAAAGGCAUACCAAGUUUACGAUGGCUUGGAAAAGGACAGAAGAGAACCCUUGUCGUUUGCUUGCCUCCUUCUCAAACUUGAUGGAGUUGAUUCUGGGAUUCCAACCCUGGAUACAGACCUUGUUUUCUCCAAGGUUCCUUGGGAGACGGGAGAUGUCUUCCGGCAAAGCUACGUACCAACUUACACAAGCCGGGAUUGGUUCUUCUUUGCUAAACCUCCUCCAACUCACAAGAGAUUGACCUCUGAGUAUGGUAUGGACUGCCAGUGGCAUGCACAGCAUCACAAACUGAUACCCUUUGACCAGCAGUAUAUUAGAUCCACUACUCAUAACCUCCGUACGAAUCAGAAAUCGGAGAAAGAAAGACAUGGUGAGUGGAGGUUAUAUCAGUUUCUGUACAAAGGCCUUUCCUUGUACUGCCUUUCACACAUAGUCACCCCCAAAGAACCAAAACCUGCUCGACCAUCUUCAAAAACGACAAAGACAAAGGCUCCCGACUCUAGUGAUGAUGCUCAAGGGGAAGGUGAAGGCAGUGGAGAAAGGGAUAAGAAUCAAGGCAAAGAGUCCACCACGUCUACAACUACCACAUCAAAUGUUGCAAACCACAAUCUCGGUUCUCAAUUCUUGUCAAACGUCAAAACUUUCACACCAGAUGGUGCCGUAAUGAUUCAUACCAAGAACAUCUUUGUGGUAGACCCCGUUUUGGAAGACAAGGCUUUCUCUGUGAGUGACAUUAAUAGCGGAUGGUGUAAGCUCGCUCAGGUAAUCAACAACCUAAUCUGGUUAUAGUAUAGUAGAAAUCUGCAUCACAUGUUUAACUUCUUCUUUUUUUUUUUAUCUUGAAUUCAGCAAAGAACCUGACUUAAUCUAUAUUAUUCUUAAUGCUUUCACAUAUGAUUUUAGAAAAUGGGCCGACUAUUUUUCAAGGCCGACUUAAGCCCAAAAGCAACCAAAAAUUACCAGAAUACCCAUGGGCGACCUAAAAUCCUAUUAAUAUGUUUUCUAAGCCAUUUUUUACGGCUACUCUUUCUUUACAUCUUGUUCUUAGUUUAUGUUAGGAGAGAAGGGAGGAACUCCUUCAGAGUCCUCCUGGAACUCCUUUGGUUUUCAUAUUGCUUUCUAUUUUAUAUCUAUUCUUUCUAUGAUUUUUGUGACAAACUUCAUGUCUCAAUAGAUCCACCUGUUAGGUUUAGGGUUCAAAUAGUCAUGAGGGAUUAGCCCAAAAUAUAGGAUUGCUAAAUGUGAGGAUAUAAAUCAAUUAAACUGUUCUUAAUGCAUGUGUUCUAGAGUAGCUAACUAGGACCUUGCCUAUAGAUAGUAGGGCGCAAGCGGAAGUUUGGUUCUCUGUCUGAUUAGUUUAGAUUGUGCUAGGAUUGUUAGAAACAAGCGGAAGCUGAUUUAGUUAAUCCUAGUGAACACGUCAAACCCAUGCGCUAAUGCUUCCUGGAAGGUUCAUCGAUCGACAACUCACUAGUUGCAUCGAUCGACGGGCUGAAAGGUGUAUCGAUCGACACCCCAUUGUUGGAAUCGAUCGACACUUUCUCAGAACCAACAAGCGACCAACAAGCGAUAUCUAAGGCCCUAGAUCCAGCGAUAGAUAGUCUAAAUAUACGAAAGUGGAUCGACUAUUCUUAUUGUUUGAGUUCUAGAAUAUCCAUAUAUAUGGAACGAUAGAGCAUUCAGUGACAUGGAGAUAGUACUUAAAGGCUUGGUCUUGGAACAGGUCUCCCUCUAUCUAUCUUGA